rnacentral:lncRNA from 1 species
UUUGUGAGACACUGGGGAGGUUCUCAUGGGGAAAAGUCUUAUGUAUGUGAUUAAUGUCAAAAAGCCCUUUGUCAGUGUUCAAGGGAGGUACCUCAGAGUACUCAUGAUAAAGAGAAACCCUAUGAAUGCUGUGAAUGUAGUGAAUAUAAAGAAAUUUUUAAUCAUGAUGCCAGUCUUACUUACCAUCUGAGGACUCACACCUGAGAAUUCAUUGAUUUGUUAUGGCCAUAAGAAUGUGGAAAGGCAGGACAUGAUUCUCUUUCAACACCAGAAAUUUCAUAGGGUAGAAAAACUUUCCCAAUGCUGGACAAAUUGCAGUGGGUGAUGAAGCUUUUUGAAUCAUGCAAAAGUUUAUACUGGACAGAAUCCCUAUGAGUGUACUGACUGUGGGAAAGGCCUCAAGACAAACUCAGACUGUUUUUUUUAACAUGAGAGAAUUCAUAGUGGAGAACAACCCUAUGCUCAUAAUGCAUGUGGAAAGGCUUUCAGAUCCAGCUCAGACUUUACUAAACAUGAGAGAAUUCAUAGUGGAAAGUAACCUUAUGCAAUGAUGAAUGUGGGAAAGGGUAUCUGGAGAUAACAGACCUUCAAAAACAUUAGAAAAUUUAUAGCGGAGAUGGAAAGAGAUCCUUUCAGUGUAAUGAAUAUGGAAAUGUUUUUAAUCUAGAGCUCAAAUUUUAUUUGUCAUCAAAGAUAAUCUUUUACAAUGAAUAUACAAAAACCUCCAAACAGAAAUCAAUCCUUGUUCAUCAUCUGCAGAUUCAUAGUGGACAGACACUCUGUACCUGUAAUGAAUAAGCCUUCAAUUAGAGGCUAAGUCUUAUUCAUUAUCAGAGGAUUCAUAAAGGCAUCACCUUCUAUGUACGUAAAAAAUUAUGGGUAUGCUUUCAGCAGGAUAUCAGCCUUAUUUGAUAUUGGCAAGUCUAUAGCGAGUUCGCUUAAAUGCAGUGAGUGUGGAAAGGCCUUCAAUCUGAAGUUUAAUCUUACUCAGCAUCAGAAAAUACAGAGUGGCAGGAAUCUUAUUAAUGUAAUGUGUGUGGGAAAGUCUUUAUGAGAAAAUCACGUCUUGGUAAAAAUGAAAAAAAGAUUCUUUGUAAAA